AUACCUUUCUCGGCCUUUUGGCUAAGAUCAAGUGUAGUAUCUGUUCUUAUCAGUUUAAUAUCUGAUACGUGGGCCAUUGGCUCACAUGAUAUUAAAUUAAUUUUUUAAGGGGGAAGGCCCAUCACAGUAGCUUGCUAUUGGGGUCUUCGAGUGUCUCCUUGGCGUUGCACUACUGCCUUGGCCUGGCGCACCCCAC